UAGGUAGCUUAACCUUCRGGAGGGCGCUUACCACUUUGUGAUUCAUGACUGGGGUGAAGUCGUAACAAGGUAACCGUAGGGGAACCUGCGGUUGGAUCACCUCCUUACCUUAAAGAAGC
rnacentral:rRNA from 1 species